AUACGGAGGGGGCUAGCGUUGUUCGGAAUUACUGGGCGUAAAGGGCGCGUAGGCGGCAUCGCCAGUCAGGCGUGAAAGCCCCGGGCUUAACCUGGGAACUGCGUUUGAUACUGCGAAGCUAGAGUGCGGAAGAGGAUGGUGGAAUUCCCAGUGUAGAGGUGAAAUUCGUAGAUAUUGGGAAGAACACCGGUGGCGAAGGCGGCCAUCUGGUCCGACACUGACGCUGAGGCGCGAAAGCGUGGGGAGCAAACAGGAUUAGAAACCCCGGUAGUCC
rnacentral:rRNA from 1 species